AAAAAAAAAUGUGUUCUAGAAAGUUCUAGAAAUGCGUUCGAGUCCAUCUGUGCCCUUGCCCUGUAAUAACCUGUACUGCUUGUAUAAUUUGUUUCUGUACUGUUUAUCUAACUUGUUUUCGUGCUGCUCAACUAACUUGUUUUUGUAUCGCUUAUCUAUCUUGUUUGUCUCAGAAUGUUAUGGGAAAAGGGAUAGCUUACAGAAAUGAUUCACAGGGCGAGCCUCGAGAAAGUGAUCUGGCCAAUUACUCUCUCGCACGCGGAAGCCUAACUUGGUAAGCUAUAAAGGACGGGUUCCCCCCCCUGCUCUGGUGAGAGUCAGCCGUGAGGAUUUGCGCAGUCCUGCUCGGUAGUUUUGGAGACAGCUGCUUUCUCUUGCCAGGGUCGAGGGGCUCUCCCGAUCUGCUUGGAAGGGCAAGGAUUAGUUCAGCUGCGUCUCUAUGAGUAUUGAUCUGUGAACCUUUGUUGAGGAGAGUCAGCCGUGAGGAUUUGCGCAGUCCUGCUCGGUAGUUUUGGAGACAGCUGCUUUCUCUUGCCAGGGUCGAGGGGCUCUCCCGAUCUGCUUGGAAGGGUCCCGAGAUAAUACUGAUGGCGUUUAGGUGGAAUGGAAGCACAGUGCUGUUCAUCGGAACUGAGAGGACCAUUUCAGAAGAGUUUGUGCAGAAAGUUCCAGUACACUUGUGGGACAAUUUGGAUAUGCAAACAGUAACUGUACAUAUUAACCUGCAUAACUUUACAAUGCUUGUCCAUGAUAUGUAGUAAUUAAGCUCUACCAUAUAUCUGGAACAAGAGUGUAAGUUGCUGAGAGACGGUCAUGAGGAAGUAUCUGAAACCACAGAGACAUUCUUACAUAUGGGGAACCAUUCCGGUCUGCAUAUCAAAAGAAGAAAUAUUUAUGAUGACGUUAAAGUGACAUUUUUGGGGAUGUAAUGGGGACUGUUAAUUUCAGUUAACACAAAAAUGCAAUAUACACACAUUUCUUUGAUAUACUGUACCGAUAAAUUAGAAACUAAACUAUGUAAAAAAUACAACAAAACACAGUACAUUUUUGGGGAUGUAAUGGGGACUGUUAAUUUCAGUUAACAUACCUGAUAAUGAAACUACGUAUUAUAAACUUGGGGUAUAGAUGUAUGAUUGGUGAAAAGAUUUGUCUUAGUUUAAAGAUACUAAAGGUAAUAUGUCAGCGAUCCUGGAGUGCAGAGAUGGGAAGGUCUCAUGUAAUUUAUUACUAAUCACAUUCAGUAAAAUAACAAAAACUGCAAAGGUUGUAAAAUUGCCCUCUAGAGGCACUGGGAGUAUGGAGUUUGUGUUGUUCAUGACACUUAAGAGUGGUAUUGUUAAGACAUUGUAUCUGCCAUCCAUGUUAGGGAGGUAAAAUGGUUGGCGUCUUGCAAUGGAUUAUUUGGAGUGUUGUUAGGAACAUAAUACUAUAUUAAUAUGUACUUGUAAUGUAAUGGGACAUCCUAUGUUGAAUGGAAAUACCAAUUGAAAACAGCUGUUCUACUGAAAAAUAUGGUAAUGUAUAAGUUCACAAAUCUAACUGUUAUGUUUGAACAGCAUUGCAAGCAACACACCAAUAUCCAGAAUUGGCUUCAAAGGGAAAUAGGUAGUACAAUAAAAGAUUACAAAGAGCGAAUAGCCAAACGAAUGUGUGAAGGUAAUGAGAAUGUGUGAAGGUAAUGAGAAACGUAGUAAGAGGGGGCUUUUUGAUGAAAUAGCAGGCUGGUUUGGUGCAGGAAAUUCUGUUGCAAACAGCUGGGAUAUUUAUCAAAUGUCAAAAGGGCAAACUUGGAUAGCAAGUACUGUGGGAGAAGGAAUAGAAAGAUUGGGGAAUGGACAGAUGUAUGUAAACCAAGGGAUUAGGCUCCAGGGUACAGCUAUAUAUGAGCUAAUGGAUGGAACAGAGGGAGCCCUGCGCAAUUUGACCAAAGCAAUAGAUUGUAGAAUAUUUGCGGGUGACCUUUUAAAAACAAUGAAGGAAGAAAUAAUGGAGACAUGAGCCGUUGAGGGAAAUUUUGCACGAAGUUGGCCCUCAUAAAUUAUGUAUAAGUACGGUGCAUGCCCAUCCACAACUUACUUAUGUGCCUUAUUCUGGGUGUUUAUCAGACAUAUAUCUUUGGCAUUGGGGAAAUGGUACUUAUUUGUUAACCAAUCAUUCCCAGCAAGAGCUUCUCACUAGGAUCCAGUGGGAGGUUCUUCAUUCAGGAAUUCACAUUUCCCUGCAAAAACAUCAAGAAUUGCUGAAUCAAUCGUCUGAAUUAGUUGACCUAGCAAAACAACAUCAACACAAUGCUACUGUAUUAAAAAUUAAAACGAUAAUGGCACAAAAUACAAUCUUAGGGUUAGGGAAAGUUAUUGAACGUAAUGCACAAGAUGCGUGGUGGUCCAUAUUUGAGGGAUGGUCACCAAAGGCUAAAGGAGUAUUAAAUAUAUUAAUCCACCCCAUCUUAAUAUUAUUGGGGAUUGUAUUUCUUUUAUGUGUAUGGCAAAUAUGUUUAUGUAUCUAUCUUCGCAGAAUUACACAGCGAACAAUGUAUUUGGCAGUGCACAGAUGAAUCUCGACCGAAGGACCGAAUGAAAUAAAAAAAAUGUGUUCUAGAAAGUUCUAGAAAUGCGUUCGAGUCCAUCUGUGCCCUUGCCCUGUAAUAACCUGUACUGCUUGUAUAAUUUGUUUCUGUACUGUUUAUCUAACUUGUUUUCGUGCUGCUCAACUAACUUGUUUUUGUAUCGCUUAUCUAUCUUGUUUGUCUCAGAAUGUUAUGGGAAAAGGGAUAGCUUACAGAAAUGAUUCACAGGGCGAGCCUCGAGAAAGUGAUCUGGCCAAUUACUCUCUCGCACGCGGAAGCCUAACUUGGUAAGCUAUAAAGGACGGGUUCCCCCCCCUGCUCUGGUGAGAGUCAGCCGUGAGGAUUUGCGCAGUCCUGCUCGGUAGUUUUGGAGACAGCUGCUUUCUCUUGCCAGGGUCGAGGGGCUCUCCCGAUCUGCUUGGAAGGGCAAGGAUUAGUUCAGUUGCGUCUCUAUGAGUAUUGAUCUGUGAACCUUUGUUGAGGAGAGUCAGCCGUGAGGAUUUGCGCAGUCCUGCUCGGUAGUUUUGGAGACAGCUGCUUUCUCUUGCCAGGGUCGAGGGGCUCUCCCGAUCUGCUUGGAAGGGUAAGGAUUAGUUCAGUUGCGUCUCUAUGAGUAUAUUAUAUCUCUGAUUAAUAUAUUCUUGUAUGUGUGUUUGUCUAUUAUUGUAUCAAGGGUGUGAAAUAAAGCGGACCUUAUUUGGAA